UUGAACGCUGGCGGCAUGAUUUACACAUGCCAGUCGAACGGUAACAGGCCGCAAGGUGCUGACGAGUGGCGAACGGGUGAGUAAUGCAUCGGAACGUGCCCAGUCGUGGGGGAUAACUACUCGAAAGAGUAGCUAAUACCGCAUACGAUCUAUGGAUGAAAGCGGGGGACCGUAAGGCCUCGCGCGAUUGGAGCGGCCGAUGUCAGAUUAGGUAGUUGGUGGGGUAAAGGCUCACCAAGCCAACGAUCUGUAGCUGGUCUGAGAGGACGACCAGCCACACUGGGACUGAGACACGGCCCAGACUCCUACGGGAGGCAGCAGUGGGGAAUUUUGGACAAUGGGCGCAAGCCUGAUCCAGCAAUGCCGCGUGCAGGAAGAAGGCCUUCGGGUUGUAAACUGCUUUUGUACGGAACGAAACGGCUCUGGUUAAUACCCGGGGCUAAUGACGGUACCGUAAGAAUAAGCACCGGCUAACUACGUG
rnacentral:rRNA from 1 species